UACGUAGGGGGCAAGCGUUGUCCGGAAUUACUGGGCGUAAAGCGUGCGCAGACGGUUGCGUAAGUCAGAUGUGAAAGCCCCGGGCUCAACCUGGGAAUUGCAUUUGAGACUGCGUAGCUAGGGUGCGGAAGAGGGAAGCGGAAUUUCCGGUGUAGCGGUGAAAUGCGCAGAUAUCAGGAAGAACACCCGUGGCUAAGGCGGCUCUCUAGUACGGUACUGACGCUGAGACGCGAAAGCGUGGGGAGCGAACAGG
rnacentral:rRNA from 1 species